CAGCAGCCGCGGGAAAACAGAGGAUGCAAGCAUUAUCCGGAAUGAUUGGGCGUAAAGCGUCUGUAGGUGGCUUUUCAAGUCCGCCGUCAAAUCCCAGGGCUCAACCCUGGACAGGCGGUGGAAACUACCAAGCUAGAGUACGGUAGGGGCAGAGGGAAUUUCCGGUGGAGCGGUGAAAUGCGUUGAGAUCGAAAAGACCACCAACGACGAAAGCACUCUGCUGGGUCGACACUGACACUGAGAGACGAAAGCUAGGGGAGCAAAUGGGAUUAGAGACCCUGUAGUCCCUGUCUCUUAUACA
rnacentral:rRNA from 1 species